GGGGACCGGAAGGAUGGCGAGGAAGUCGGAGCGGGUUUCCUGAGAUGAGAGAUUACUUCCGUCCGGGCGCCGGCCUCUCUCUGGAGCCGGCUCGCCAGGGCUCGGAGCGUGGUGCGCGGGGCUCGGGGCGCGCCUGGCCACCGCAGCGCCGGGCGGGCCUCGGGCCUCGGGCCUCGGCGGACGCGCUCGGCCUGGUGGCCUACGCUAACCCGGGGGUCCUUGCAGGCGGGAUUGAGAGCCUUUCAAAGAGCCUAAGCCAUGGUGGCCAAACAGCGGAUCCGGAUGGCUAACGAGAAGCACAGCAAAAACAUCACCCAGAGGGGAAACGUAGCCAAAACCCUGAGGCCACAAGAAGAAAAAUACCCUGUAGGACCAUGGCUGUUGGCACUGUUUGUUUUUGUUGUCUGUGGCUCAGCUAUCUUUCAGAUCAUUCAGAGCAUAAGGAUGGGGAUGUGAGACAGCCUGGCAUCUGACUCUGUGCCCUCCCCCUAGAGGGUGGAAGACCAGGAAAGCCUGUGGCAGUUUGGAUAUCAGCAGAAUGACAGAUGGAACUUAGGUUGGAUAGAUAAGAAGGCACAUUGAAAACAACAACAACAAAAACCCACAGUGAUGUAACUUGGGGUGGAAGAGAGGAAUUGAUGAAGACUUCUGGAAAACCUGGAUAGAAGCAUUUGACUCUGGAGAAGGACGGAGAAGGCUCAUAAGGUGCAGUGGCCUGUCUCCAGCCUACCUCUUUUGGGGAACUGCCUCUCCUGCUUCCUUUUCUCCUUGACCCUGGUGGGAUCUGAGAAAGAUGUGCUGUUUUUCUGAGCUGCACGACAGCUAGUCAGAGUGCACCCCUACUCCCUUGCCACCCCGCACCCCAGAGUCCUCUCUGGGAUCUGUUGCUAGUGACAAAACCUGGUUUUUGUCCCUGAAUUUAGGAUACUGAGAAGAAAUGAAAUUAGAACCAUUGACUACCAUCUGCCCUCACCCAGCAAUAAGUGUAAAUAUUCCACUUAGGAAAAAAUUAGGGCAGGACAGGGACUCUUUUUAUUGGAUUGGGUUUUACACCUUGCGUUACUUUGUAUUUGGAUAAUAUUUUAGCACUUUCCUAGACAAAAAUGCCUGACACAAUAUGAAAAGAAAAAGUCUAUCUUGGCUCAUAGUUCUGGAUGUUCUUGUUCAUGGUUGGUUGUCCCCAUUGCUUUGUGCCAGUGGUGAGGCAGGAUAUCAUGGCAGGAGUGUGUGGCAAAACACAGUAACUUAACUCAUGGUUAGAAAGCCCAAGAAAUAAGGAGGAACUAACUGGGAUCCUAUAGUCCCCUUCAAGAAUAUGCUCUCAAUGGCCUAAGGACCCACUAGUCUCCACCUCUUACAGGUUCCAAGUCUUUAACACAUAGGCCUUUGGGGGACAUUGAAGAUCCAAACUAUAGUAGGGAUAUUUGGACCAAUGUGUUCAUUUUAUAUUUAGUGAGUUUAAUUUGAGUUUCUGGCUCUCUUCACCAUGCAGAGGAAAUUGUAGGUACAAAUGUAUGGAGAUGAGAAAAUGCUGAGGAUAUUAAGGGAUCUGCUGAGCAUGUGGCCAGAACAGAGGAAAUGGGAUGAGACUGUAACAGUGGGCUUGGGUCAGAUCAUGAAAGGCUUGAGUCAGAUGGUGAAUGCAGGAGCAUCCAGUAAGGAUUUUAGCAGGGAGAUGUAGAUGUGCAGUGUAGAAAGCUCACAUGGGAGUUGAGUGGAAGUGAGCUGACCUGGAGGAAGGUCUGCCAGAGAAGCCUGGGGGUGACAUAGUAGGCACCAGAACUCAGCUGGGGACCCCAGGGGACAGACAGCUGUGCCUGCAUCCAGGAGAGGCUAAGUGAUUAAGAGACUAGAAAGUUCUGGUAUGGCUGUGAUAGAAUUUAGUUUCAAUCAUUUCCCAUAUCUUAUAGCUUUGAGGGUCUCCUCCUUCCUAAUUAUCCUUCCCUGAAAGCAUUCUGAGUUGGCCUAUCUCUACAAGAAGAUAUGAGACCCAGAACAGAACUCCAUACUCUUGAUGACGUCAAGCUGAGGAGGAAUAAUAAUAUGCAUAAAAAUGCUUUACAUGUUCAGUAUGGAUGCAAUUUUUUCCAAAUAUUUUCAGUCUACAGUUGAAUCUGUGGAUCAGGAACCCAUAAAUAUGGAGGGUGGACUGUACAGGAUUGUGUAGAGCCUGAAUCCUUUUUUUAUAUAGGCUCUAAAUUAUUUUUUAAUAAGCUGGUAAAUAUUUUUACAGAUUUUUCUCAGAGGAGAAGGCAUCAAGAGAUGGAAGGAGAGGAGAGGGAGAGAAGGGAUAGGGUAUGAAAAGCAGGAGCUGGGAUGUGCUCUGUGCAUGUACCAACUCCACACAAGAAAUGUAAACAUUAUGUGCUGCAAAUAUGUACUAAUAAACAAAAAAAAAUAUAUGCAAGCCUACGUUAUUAAGCUUAGCAUGUCUUACCUACACCUGAAAACUGUGUCUCCAAACUUUUGAGUUCAAUUAAAUUCAGCAAGUAAGUAUGAUGUUA